CACGUGUGAAUUUAAUUUUACAGCAGAACCCAAGGCACAAAGUUCCCCCUGGUGCUUGAAGAGGAUCAGGAACUGCUUGGAGGACUCAGGAAUCCCACCCAAACCUGGAGCCAUUCCCCCAACAGGCACUCUGAAAUUGCCAUCAGCAGAAGCUGUUUAAAAAGCUGCCCCACAGAGACCCCAGUGUGACACAAAACCGGCAGAACCUCUGAAACCUGGAGGGAAAUCCUGGUGGCCAUGGAUGCCUGUGACCGUGCUCACAG
rnacentral:lncRNA from 1 species